rnacentral:piRNA from 1 species
UAGAGGUGAGAUCAAGCUGGGACAGGGUCUC